rnacentral:lncRNA from 1 species
AGGUGGUUGCAGCAGCGAGGCACUUGUGUGUGUGUGUGUGUGUGUGUGUGUGUGUGUGUGUGUGUGUGUGUGUGUGUGUGUGUGUGUGUGUGUGUGUGUGUGUGUGUGUGUGUGUGUGUGUGUGUGUGUCUGGCUCUCCCUCCCGUCCUGGCUUCCGUCUCCCUCCCUAACCCUUCUACUUUGUUCCUAGGCCCUGCUGAGACGCAGGUCGGGUCCUCCGUGCACACAGGUAAAUGCCCUUCCGCGCCCCUCCCCUGGCUCGCUCUGCUGGCUCAGGCGCUUCCUGCCACCCUCCAUGGCCAGAAUGAACUGGGUUUCUGCAUAAGCCUCUUUCAUUGCAGGAGCCCCUUAGCAGCUCUUACAAACCCGUUUCCAAACACAGGCCAUAAAAAUGAAUGCGCCGAGAAUGAGCUCCCGACAGCUGACUCCCCAGAGGCUCCCUCAAAGAAUGGCCCAUCUUUGGACCCAUGGCCAAAACUGGGGGAAGGGGGAGACCAGCGGCAGGCUACUGGGUAUGGGGGGGGAGGAGAAACCUUCUCAAAGGAGGCAGGAGGCACCUUCCAAAAGGACGUGCAGGCCAAGUGGGCCACCCAUAGCGUGGCGGCACUCACCCACCCUCUUGCACCGCCGGAUGUGCCCUCCGGGGCUUCUUUCUGCCCUGGGCGCUUCCAGGAGCCACCUUUCUUCCCCUUUUCUUCCUUCCCACAGGAGACGUCCUGGCGGUUCUCUUUGGGGUGCUCUUCGCCAUCACGGGCCUCGCAUUCCUCGUCUAUGUCCGGAAGCACCGGAGGCAGAACUGCAGAUUGGAUGCUUCAGCAGCCAAGGCCAACAUCAUCUAUACUCCUGCCACCACCACUGAAGAACAGGCCGUCUAGGAUGCUGCUUCCCCCCCCCACAGGCCAGAGGGAGACUGGUACCGGGUUGGUCUUGGGAAAUCUUUUGCCUCAUGGCCUGGCCAUCUUCCCUCCUGACCCCCCACCUACCCACCCUACCCAGCCAGGCAAGGUUCCCUUAUUAAGGAGGAGUGCCUAGGCCACUGACAAACCUAGACAGCAUCUUAAAAAGCAAAGAUAUCACCUUGCCGACAAAGCUCCACAUCGUCGAAGCUAUGGUUUUUCCAGUAGUGAUGUAUGGAAGUGAGAGCUGGACCAUAAAGAAAGCUGACCGCCGAAGAAUUGAUGCUUUUGAAUUGUGGUGCUGGAGGAGACUCUUGAGGGUCCCCUGGACUGCAAGGAGAACAAACCUAUCCGUUCUGAAGGAAAUCAACCCUGAGUGCUCACUGGAAGGACAGAUCCUGAAGCUGAGGCUCCCAUCCUUUGGCCAUCUCAUGAGAAGAGAAGACUCCCUGGAAAAAGACCUUGAUGUUGGGGAAAGUGUGAAGGCAAGAGGAGAAGGGGACGACAGAGGAUGAGAUGAUUGGACAGGGUCACUGAAGCUACCAACAUGAAUAUGACCCAACUCUGGGAGACAGUGGAAGAGAGGAGGGCCAGGCGUGCUCUGGUCCACGGGGUCACAAAGAGUUGGACACGACUUAAUGACUCAACAACAACAGCCUAGGCUGCUCAGCCGCUCCCGAUGUAGCCUGCUGUGCCACAGAGCCCCUUUCCUCAGCUUGAGAAGUUGGGAAGCAGACGACCCUGGGUCCCUGCCUGGCGCAUGCCCUGUGCAUCUUUGCAUGAAAGCCAUUCUCAUUUGGCUGUUGUUAACCACAGCAGAGAAACAGCCACCUCAGUGUCAAUUGCUGAGGUCUUUCAACCCCCACCCCCAACCCCAGUGAGUGACCCCUGGAUUUAGGCAGGGAGGGAGGAGAGGCUUAACACCUCUUUUUGCAUGCAGAGAUGUGAGAGAGGCGGAGGGAUGUCUGUAUGCAUGCAUGCAUGCAUGCAUACACACACUCACAUGCAGACACACACACACACACACACAGAUGUGUUCAUGCCCAACCCCUUCGCCUCACAUCAGCUGCCUCCUCCCCCACCUGGCAGUGUGUGCAGACACACACAAGGAUCUUUUGACUGAAAGCUCAAGGAUGUGGCCCGGCAUUUGAUGUCCGGGAAUAUUCCCUGCUAAGGUGGCCCAUUAGACCUGGCUUCAUGGUGUUGGCAGUUCAGACGCAGAAGGCAAUUGGAAAGAUGUAGCCCAGAGUCUGUACUUGAUGUGCCAGGAUGGGACCCAGCCUGUUAUCAGAAGUAGUAUGAACACAAACAGAACAAAUUCCCUGUUGAAUCAAAAAGGCCUGAAUGGAACUAGAAUAGCUUCAGGAAGGUACAUCAAACAUGCAUGCAUUUAAUCUUAAUUUUCAGAGUUACAGAACGGGGUACAAAACGUGUUUAAACUAAAGAUGAUUGGUUAUAUUUUAAGACUCAAGUACUUAUGGCACAAUUGUGCAUUCUACGUCCAGAGAUGCAAAGGCUUGGAGCAGGACGCUGAGUGGGGAAGGGGGAGGAUUCUCCCCUUUCCAAUCUGUCUCCCCUCCCCUCACCACUCCAAAGCUUUCAGCAGCUCCACUUCUGACUAAUGGCCAGAGUCUGGUGUUGCCACCUGGAUUCUGUGUCCAUUUACUGGUAUUCCCCUUGUGAUGUCAUUGUUCUGUGCUAUCAAGUUGUUUCUGACUUAAGGGCUACCUUAUGAAUGGGGGACCUCCAGAUGCUCCUGUCCUCCCCAAAAGCUCUGCUCAGCUCUUGGAAACUUAAGGCUGUGUUUGCCUUCAUGGAGUCAAGUCAUUUCAUGUUUGGUCUUCCUCAAUUCCUGCUGUUGUCAACCUUCCCAAGAAUUACCGUCUUUUCCACUGAGUCUUGUCUUCCUAUGAUGUACCAAAGUAUGACAAGCUCAAUUUAGUUGUUUUUCCUCCCAAAGGAAGUUCAGACAUGAUUUGAGUUAGCAUCUGGUUAUUUGUCUUUUAGCCAAUCCAUGGUAUCCUUAAAGCUCUCAUCUGAAGCCACAUUUCAAAUAAUAAUUUUUUCCACUCUGUUGCUUUCCCAUCUGUACAUAGUUAUUGGAAGUAUCAGAGUAUGAAUGAUGUUGGCCUCAGCCUCCAGUGACAUGCCCUUACACUUGAGGACCUUUUUUAGUUUCUUCACUGCUGUUCUUCCAAGUCUUAGUCUUUUUAUUAUUAUUAUUAUUAUUUCCUGACUGCAGACUCAACUAGGAUUGAGGUAUACAAAAUCUUUAACGAUUUCAGUUUCUUCAUUCUCAACAGGAAAGUCACGUAAUUCGUCUCUACACAUGCUUUUCAUCUUCUUGAUAUUCAACUGCAGUCUGGCUUCUGCACUUUCUUCUUUCACUUUCGUCUGGAGUUGUUUCGAGCUAUUGCUGUUUUGUACUGUGGCAUCUUGUGAUCUUGUGCAAUUCCCUUUUCCCUUUCGUCUGAACUGUGCUGGAUGGAUGACUCAGGGACGCCAUUAGUUUCUAACAAAAAUCCUUUAUUUGGUAACAGCUUGCUUAUUCCAACAUCAGCAGCAGAUUCUGCUUCUUGCUUUAGAGACAUCAUGCCUUUUCCUUUUUAAUUAAACCACAACAAAUCCCCCUCUGGUUGCAUAGGGGUAGAACGUAAUGCCAGCUCGGUGGAAUGCCCGAUUCUUGGGGCAGACUUGUCGCUGGCCUUAUAGGGGAGGGUGGAGAACCCAGCCCACCUGUGGGCCCCACCUUUUCCUGCCCUGGUUUGGUCUCAGUUUUGGCCUGAAGAGGUUCAUCCCACAGGGUUUCCCAGGACAGUCCGGACACGGCUGGUUCUCCCAUCUCUGAGCCUCCCAUGGCGGCCACCCUCAGAACUUUCUUCUCUGCUCCCUUUCUUCAGUCUCUCCCCAGUAAGGUGGCUUCCCUGUAGGUUUUUCUUCUCCACUCUUUCUCGGCAUGCUCUCUAGGGACUUUAAACGCCGUCCACUCCCCUGUCCAGGGGUCCUCUUGCACUAUUUCAACCCAGUCCUUUUUUCCUUUUUCCUCUUCUUCCUCCUCCACCCAACAUGCUUCUCCUUCUUCAGUUUCCAACUGACCCCUUCCUCCUUUCCUUUCAUCUCCUUUCCUCCUGCCGAAAUGACGCCCCCUGGUGGCUCUUUCUUCUCUUGUUCUUUCUGCCCCUGAUCCUCCAAGCAGAGUCCCUUGAGGUUCUCCUCCAAGGUGGGCAUCUGUCCCUCAGUGUCUUCAGCCGAGGAGGCGGCGGCGGGUACACUCUGAGGAGUGCCCCUUGGGCUACUCCCAGCCUCACACAUCUAUCCUUAUUUAUAUGGGAAAUGAAUGCAAUAGGCCUACAGUGACUGCAUUUCUUAGCCUCUCGUUUCUUGGACAUUGGAAGGUAUAUUUCUAGUUUAUGGGCUAUUGUUUUGUUUACAUUCUUUUAAGCCAAAACAACAACAAUAAGAAAACAGUUCUGGUUCACAGUCAACUGAGUUUAGUAAGGCAAAUCUGUUCUUAAUAUGGACUUUAGCUUCAUCAGAAAUUUUAUUUAAAUUAUAUUUUGGUACUAUGAUUCUUUUUAUAGUGAUUCUGGAUAUUAACAGUUCCUAGACAGUAUGCACAGUCUGCCCCUGAUCAGUUUCAGCAGUGAGAAUGCAGCUGCUGCAGCUUCUGCUUCCAACUGUGUAGUCUAUUGGAUUAUUUCCAUAUUGCUCAUCUGGGAAUGCCCGUUUCUACAGUCAUCUUUUUGGUUCUCUCAAUCAUGGUUUUGCAAUAAACAGGCUUUGGUUUCACA